rnacentral:rRNA from 1 species
CGGAGGAAAAGAAACUAACAAGGAUUCCCCUAGUAACGGCGAGUGAAGCGGGAAGAGCUCAAACUUAAAAUCUCUACGUUUACGUAGCGAAUUGUAGUCUAUUGAGGCUGUUGUCAGCAUAGCGACCUGGGAGAAGUCCCUUGGAAAAGGGCAGCAAAGAGGGUGAUACUCCCGUCUCUGCUCAGGUUGUCUGUGUGUACGAUACGCUUUCUUUGAGUCGAGUUGUUUGGGAAUACAGCUCAAAGUAGGUGGUAAAUUCCAUCUAAAGCUAAAUAUUGGUGCGAGACCGAUAGCGAACAAGUACCGUGAGGGAAAGAUGAAAAGAACUUUGAAAAGAGAGUUAAAGAGUACCUGAAACUGUUGAAAGGGAACCGUAUCGUUUCCAGUGUUGUAUCCUGUGCAUAUUUCAUUAGCGGAGCAAUUUGCUGGUGCCCUGUGCAUGGGUGUGACGUCAGAGUCAGUUUGUAUGCUGCGGGAGAUGGUUAGUAAGGAGGUGAUUCACUUCGGUGAAAGUUAUACCUUGCUAUCUAGUUGCCGUGGUUGAGACUGAGGUGCCUACAACAUGCUCUGGGUUCAGUGCUGUCUCGUUUUGGUGACUGCUUGGAUAGCUUGCUAUGUCUGCGGUUAAUCAGGGCGAUUGAUGGUAUUGAUAACCUCUGCUGUUCGGGACUCUGGCGAAAUGGAGCGAUACGACCCGUCUUGAA